GUGGGGAAUAUUGGACAAUGGGCGAAAGCCUGAUCCAGCAACGCCGCGUGAGGGAUGACGGCCUUCGGGUUGUAAACCUCUUUCAGCAGGGACGAAGCGAAAGUGACGGUACCUGCAGAAGAAGGACCGGCCAACUACGUGCCAGCAGCCGCGGUAAUACGUAGGGUCCGAGCGUUGUCCGGAAUUAUUGGGCGUAAAGGGCUCGUAGGCGGUCUGUCGCGUCGGGAGUGAAAACUCAGGGCUCAACCCUGAGCGUGCUUCCGAUACGGGCAGACUAGAGGUAUGCAGGGGAGAACGGAAUUCCUGGUGUAGCGGUGGAAUGCGCAGAUAUCAGGAGGAACACCGGUGGCGAAGGCGGUUCUCUGGGCAUUACCUGACGCUGAGGAGCGAAAGCAUGGGGAGCGAACAGGAUUAGAUACCCUGGUAGUCC
rnacentral:rRNA from 1 species